CCAUUUCACCUGGCCAUGUGACUUGUGGGCUUCCCUUUGUCAUCCUUCGCCUAGGGCUCUGAGCAGGGCAGGGACAGCAAAGGGGUGCUCAGUUGUCACUUCCCACAGCACGGAGCUU
rnacentral:pre_miRNA from 1 species